CAGGAGUAAAGCUACGCUACUAUGCCCAAUCAUAAAUAUAUGAACGCAUGUACAAUGAAAUAGAUAAACAACUAACCCAUUAUCAUGCCCAAAGGUAAAGCUAUUUACUCGUUCAUCAAUCUCAUUUACUUGUUUCUUAAUCUCGUGGCUUCCCUGAAGGAGCCUGCUGCUCACUAGCCAUCUCGAAGGUAGGGAGGGUCAACUCGCACUACGAACCGAGACCAUCUGCCGGGGCCCAAAAUAGGCAAUCCCUUGGGACCCAAAAUAGGCAAUCCCACGUGACCAACUCUGGAGCGCAUUACUUGUGUGGGGCUUCCAUCACAAGAUUUAAAAACAGACCGUGAGCAUGAUCCAAUCCUCGUCUCGAGAAUACCCUAUCCUCUAGGGUUACAAUCAUCAUAUAGUCCAUAGGUUUCACAUACACUACGACUCAUAUGUGUCAUUUGUUCUUUUGCUUACUAUCA
rnacentral:lncRNA from 1 species